GACAUGGACAACAGUAUGGUAAUUCCGGGGGUGGGGAGGUAGAGGAGGGUAUAGGGGAUAUAAAUGUUGAUGGAGACUUGACUCGGGGUAGUGAACAUGUAAUACAGUGUACAGAUGAUGUGCUAUAGAAUUGUGCACCCGAAACCUGUAGAAUUUUGUUAACCAGUGUCACCCCA